AUUGAACGCUGGCGGCAUGCCUUACACAUGCAAGUCGAACGGCAGCACGGGAGCAAUCCUGGUGGCGAGUGGCGAACGGGUGAGUAAAGUAUCGGAACGUGCCCAGUCGUGGGGGAUAACGUAGCGAAAGUUACGCUAAUACCGCAUACGAUCUAUGGAUGAAAGCGGGGGAUCGCAAGACCUCGCGCGAUUGGAGCGGCCGAUAUCAGAUUAGGUAGUUGGUGGGGUAAAGGCUCACAAAGCCGACGAUCUGUAGCUGGUCUGAGAGGACGACCAGCCACACUGGGACUGAGACAGGGCCCAGACUCCUACGGGAGGCAGCAGUGGGGAAUUUUGGACAAUGGGCGAAAGCCUGAUCCAGCCAUGCCGCGUGCAGGAUGAAGGCCUUCGGGUUGUAAACUGCUUUUGUAUAGGGCGAACCGUUUCUACGCGUUAGAGACCUGACAGUACUAUACGAAUAAGCAUCGGCUAACUCCGUGCCAGCAGCCGCCGUAAAAC
rnacentral:rRNA from 1 species